GCAAUUCUGGUAUAGUGGUUAACAUGCUCGCUUCCCUAGCGAGCGGCCCGGGCGCGAACCCCAUCAAUUGCA